GUGAGGAAUAUUGCGCAAUGGAGGCAACUCUGACGCAGCCAUGCCGCGUGCAGGAAGAAGGCGCUACGCGUUGUAAACUGCUUUUAACCGGGAAGAAACCCCAGGACGUGUCCUGGGUUGACGGUACCGGAGGAAUAAGCACCGGCUAACUUCGUGCCAGCAGCCGCGGUAAUACGAAGGGUGCAAGCGUUAUCCGGAUUCAUUGGGUUUAAAGGGUGCGUAGUCGGAGCGUUAAGUCAGUGGUGAAAUCCUGCAGCUUAACUGUAGACUUGCCAUUGAUACUGGCGCUCUUGAGUGCGCUUGAAGUGGGCGGAAUGUGCCGUGUAGCGGUGAAAUGCUUAGAUAUGGCACAGAACACCAAUUGCGAAGGCAGCUCACUAAGGCGAUACUGACGCUGAGGCACGAAAGCGUGGGGAUCGAACAGGAUUAGAAACCCUUGUAGUCC
rnacentral:rRNA from 1 species